rnacentral:rRNA from 1 species
AUUGAACGCUGGCGGCGUGCCUAAUACAUGCAAGUCGAACGGAGUGGCGCACGGGUGAGUAAUAUAUAGCUAAUCUGCCCCUUGCUGGAGGACAACAGUUAGAAAUGACUGCUAAUACUCCAUAGCAAGGGAUGAGACUAUAUCGUAUCAGCUAGUCGGUGGGGUAACGGCCUACCGAGGCGAUGACGCGUAACUGGUCUGAGAGGAUGAUCAGUCAACUUGGAACGGAGGCAGGAGCCAAACACCUACGGGAGUCGGCGGUAGGGAAAAUUGCGCAAUGGGGGAAAGCGUGACGGAUCUUCGCAGCGUGAAGGAUGAAACUUAGCGGAGCGUAAACUCGUUUUGUUAGGGAAGCGGUACCUAACGAAUAAGCAACGGCUAACUCCGUGCCAGCAGCCGCGGUAAUUC